rnacentral:lncRNA from 1 species
ACCAAGCCACACAGCAGAGGCGUCACAUGCCUCCAGACAUUCCAUUAUUUGCUCACUCAAUGGACACACAAGUGCUGGGCACCAAGCGUGUGCCAGGCAAGGGGGACCAAUCUCCAUCCUCAAUGGGGCUCUCAGGCGUCCCUUAAACUACAACCAGGGUGCCCGCUGCUCUGCAAAGCAGGGUGUGGAAACACAAGAAAAUGUGCGUGCAGUCUACCUGGGGCAUGGGAUUUUUCCUCGGAACGGGAAGCAGCUCUGAGUGGAGGAAUAGGGGCAGGGCACUCCAGGCAGAGGGCAUGGCACGUGCAAAGGCCUAAAGGGAUGGACACAGAGACAGACGCACAAGGAAGAAGGCCAUGUGGCGACAGAGGCGAGCACUGGAGGGAUGUGUAGACGAGCCACGGAACACGGAACAAGGAACAAGGAGGGUGGCUAGCGCCUGCCAGAAGCCAGAAAAAGGCACGGCAGGUGCUUUGUCAGAGCCUCCACGGGAACUGAGCCUACCACCAGCCUGAUUUCAGGCAUCACGCCUCCAGGAUUCUCCAAGAGAGAAUGAAUUUCUAUUGUUUUCAAGCA